rnacentral:lncRNA from 1 species
CUCUAGGGUGAGCCUGUCACCCUGUGUGGCUGAGGUGGUCAGCAGCCCGCCAUUAAAUCCGCUUAGCACUCUCAUCCACAGGCUGUAGCCUGCUUCCCGGGCACGCCAGACAUUCUCCACCUGAGGGCUUUGUUCUGGUCCUGGAUGCAUCUCAGCAGCAUGAGUGGGAAGCCACAGCGCUGGAGUUAAUGCCCCAGGAACAGACCUGACCCAGCGCUGGACAGGGGAUGGGGUCCUAGCUCCCGGAUGGGACGUCUCUGAGGGGGGCUAGUGCCAGAAAGAAGUUUAAAAUGUCGCUCUCUCUGCUUGUUGAAUUGGGACAAGCAUGGCCCUGGAGAUAAGCAAGAAAAAGGAAGGGAAGGGGUCACAGCCUCCGUCAGAAAAACUCAAAAUUCGCUUGUAAGGAGAAUUUGCUGACCUGGCCCAUGGUGGUUGUCCACUUCUUUGCAUCAUAACCUUCUGUGGCUUGAACCACACAGUCUGGCACAGGAUUCAAUUUUAGCUGGCACAGUCCUCUGUUUAGUGUAUGUGACUCUUGUUUCCUCAGGUGGCCUGAAAGCUCCUCAGUGCCUAACACAGUGUGAACACUACUGGCUUUUGCUUACAGCCAGGGAUGACAGUGUUCUCACUUUCAGGUAACCAUAGACCACUAUUCUCAAACUCUAACAAAGUAGGGGGAAAGGUAGAGGGCCCAACGUGCAUAACAACGAACGUACAACCUCAUUGUGAAUAAAAUGUUAUUUGUCUCAAAUAUUUCUAAGGACAUUUGUACUUAUCUUUCCCCAAGAGGUGUUUUCUUUGUUCUUGUUUCUUUGGCACACUCAUUUCUUUUCUUACAAAUUUUAUAGUGUUAUUUGUAAAUAGGCAUUUAGGAGCCGUAUCUUAGAUGUUCUUGGACAGCAUGUAAAAACCCAGUUUUUCAAGUACGUGUAAUGUUCACCACCCUAGUGUGCAGAUGCUGUUGGUUGGCUGUCCCAAUGGCGGUCUACAACGCCCAGUAGCCAGUCUCCCUUGUGGCUGGGGGUGGCCACAGAGCUUAGUUCUAGCCUCUGAGCGGUAAGCAGAAGUCUUCUAGGUGAGGCUGGUGAAAUAGCGUCAACUUUUCUAGAUAAAAAGGGACAGAUUGAGUUGUCAUGGCCCUUCACCUUGCCCUUCCUGUCUUAGCACAGGUGAUGUGGCUUUGUGUACCUCUGCGAGGAGCUGCUCCUCUGCAGGCUGCCGCUCCAGCAAGUGCUAAGCUCCCUGCAGCCGACACUGGAUUGCUUAGGUCCCGGUGGCUCCCUGCUCCGUGCCUCUGCCUGCCUAAGACUCUGUGUUAGCAUGUGACUGAUGGGAGCUCUGGCGAUGAGAACCUGCUGAGUUUUCCUUUUGGAUGGGUUUUUAUAUUAUUUUCCCAUAAGACGCAUGAGUUUUAUUUAUUAAUUUUUAAACAAUUUUUUAGCCAUUAUAGUAGCACCUGCUUAUAAAAAAUUUCAAACUGUGCGAAAAGUAUUCAGUGAAAGUCUUCUCUUCUUUCUAUAGAGGAAUCAUUGUUAGCAUUUCUUAUGUACUCUUCUAAAAACUUUCCAUUAUGCGUACAUAUAUUUAUUUACACAAAAAAGAUCAUACUAAGGCAUGUUCUGCAACUUGCUUUUUAAAAUUGUAUCUUUUUCAGCACAUGUACCUAUACCGUAUUCUUAAUUGGUGUAAAACACUACAUGGAUAAACCAUAAUCAUUAGAGGAAUGCAAAUUAAAGCCACAAUGUGAUACCACUGUACACCUAGUAGAAUGACUCAGAUAAAUAAAAAAACAUAACACUCUCAAGUGCUGACAAGGAUACAGAGCAACUGGACUCUCAUAAAUUGAUGGUGGGAAUGCAAAAUGUUGUAGCGAGUUUGGAAAAGAGUUUGACAGUCUCUUAUAAAGUUAAAUGCACACUUUAUAUACAACAAAGAAAUUCCAUGCCUAAAUAUUUACUCAAGUGAAAUGAAAACCUGAGUUCACACAAAAAUGUCUACAUGAAUGUUUAUAGCAGCUUUAUUCAUAAUUGCUCAUAACUUGAAACAACCCCAAAUCCACCUUCAGUUGGAUAAACCAACUGUGGCCCAUCCAUACAAUGGAACAGGCCCAGGGCUGGGUGUGACAAGGGAGAUACUUAGGGCACAGCCUUUAGGGGCACCAAACACUCAGUAAUCAAGAUAAAUCAUAUUAAUGCAAUAUUGAAAAAAAUCAAGCCAAUGCAAAAAACACAUGAUGAACAAAAUAUAAAAAUUUAAAACAAAAUCUUAUCCUGCACUUACAUGACCCUGGGAGGUAUGCAAGUUGGGGGUGCAGGUGUAGGGAGGUAAAAAAAUAUCUCAUUUAUAUUUCUUUUGACAGUCGUGGUCAUUGUCUCCACGUGAAGGAAGGUGACAAGUCCUUUCAAUUGUUUAUAACUGUAAUCCACAGCACUGCAGGGUAAAGGGGAAGCUUUAUUUUAUUAUAAAUACAUGUUUGUGUGAUUUAAAAAAUAUGAAGAGCACUUAGGUGAGCUGUACAAAUUUUAUUUAUUCAUGUAUUUUACUUUUCAGAAGUAAAACGAUCAAAUUCAAAUAUUUUAUGAAAAAAAUUUUUUUAACUGGGA